AACUCUAUACGGGGGAUCACUCGGCUCAUGGAUCGAUGAAGAACGCAGCCAACUGUGUGAAAUCGUGUGAACUGCAGGACACAUGAACAUCGAUAUUUUGAACGCAUAUUGCGGUCCACGCUUUAAACUAUCAAUGAUUAUUCACGUAAUUAUUCUAGUGUGCCUGGACCACAUAUGGUUGAGUGUCG
rnacentral:rRNA from 1 species